GUCAGAAGGUACGCUCCCAACCCAAUGUGAACGUUACCAAACUGUUGCCUCGGCGGGAUCUCUGCCCCGGGUGCGUCGCAGCCCCGGACCAAGGCGCCCGCCGGAGGACCAACCAAAACUCUUAUUGUAUACCCCCUCGCGGGUUUUUUUAUAAUCUGAGCCUUCUCGGCGCCUCUCGUAGGCGUUUCGAAAAUGAAUCAAAACUUUCAACAACGGAUCUCUUGGUUCUGGCAUCGAUGAAGAACGCAGCGAAAUGCGAUAAGUAAUGUGAAUUGCAGAAUUCAGUGAAUCAUCGAAUCUUUGAACGCACAUUGCGCCCGCCAGUAUUCUGGCGGGCAUGCCUGUCCGAGCGUCAUUUCAACCCUCGAACCCCUCCGGGGGGUCGGCGUUGGGGAUCGGCCCUGCCUUGGCGGUGGCCGUCUCCGAAAUACAGUGGCGGUCUCGCCGCAGCCUCUCCUGCGCAGUAGUUUGCACACUCGCAUCGGGAGCGCGGCGCGUCCACAGCCGUUAAACACCCAACUUCUGAAAUGUUGACCUCGGAUCAGGUAGGAAUACCCGCUGAACUUAAGCAUAUCAUAAGCCGGGAGAGAA
rnacentral:rRNA from 1 species